UUUGUUUUGCAUGUGACUUGGUCGGUAGUAAGAGAUGAACUAAUUUGUACCAAGCCAAACUUACUUUUGGUACGGAUAACUAUCUGGUGCAUUUUUGUGUUGUUACUGCUGCUGCUGCUGCUGAUGGAAUCUAUUGUUACCCAAUCUUCUAUUUGUUUUUUCUAGAAUUACAUUUGCUAAUCGAUUAUUUAAUGCUACAUCAGUUGUAAAAGGGCGAAGGUCAAUCCCACGAACUUUUCGAGCCUACGUGAGACCCCAAACUGCUUGAUGAUGGUCAGUUAGAGGCAGUUCAUAUGGAAGCAGGCUGGCUCGGCCGGACGGGAUCUCGCUACUAUCAAGAAACACAUACAAAAAUGGCGAGCUGGCUCGAUUGUUUUUACCGAGAUCUCGGCUAGGCGGGAUGAACAUUUUCCAUAUAAACGGGCCAGUCCGGCCAGGCGGCUGACUCACUUUAUAUUAUUUUAUUUGUAGAAAGCAUUUUUUGUCAAU